GCUCCGCCAUGAUGCCAUCAGUCCUCCUACCGCUUCCCCCCUCCUCAUCUCUAUCUCUCUCCCCAUCGUUGUCACGGCAUCUCUCUCAGCACCAACCCCCAAAGGGUUUCCACUUUCUAGGGUUUUUAGGGCUCUCAGAGUUUGUCCAAUCUUUCGCCAUUUCUCAGAUUUGUGAUUUGCUCGCCGAAUAUUGCUCCAAUGCGUCUGUAGAAGAAGCACGAUCAGUGCAAACCAGAAACAACAUCUGCUGUUGGGCGACUGAUGUUCUUCAUAGUUCAUACUCUGUUGAUAUUUCAGGGAAUGGAUUUUAUAUUUACCGCAGUGAAAAGACAUUUAGCAUGAUGUGGGGAGUUUAGUUUUAUAAGGCACGGAACAGUCUAACUCGUGACGUGAUAAACCUGAAAGGCUUCUCAAGGAACUGAUCAUUGAAAACUUCCUCGUUUUGGCACUUCAUUUGGAUUACGUGAUCAGACUGAGUAACCCUAGAAAUGGCUUCGUCUUCUGGUACUUCUGAAAUUGUUGAAGCAAAAGACGAGCUAAUUACAGGUCAAUAUUCUCACGGAAUACAUCGAACGAAUCCUGGAUUGAGUAGGGGUGAGAAAGAUCGGAAGCUUCCUCCUGUUCUAAAACUGGGAUACAAGGAUUCUCUAGAAGAUGAUAUUAAUAAGCUCUUUGAGGCAAUCAAAACAUCAUCCAAGGGUUCAGAUCGUUCAAAGCAAGUAGGCACUAGCCCUUUAAAUAGAAAUGCCUUAAAGAAACCAAUUACAGUGGGUGUGUCUCACUCACCAGGGAUUGGGAAUUCAGAACCGGCGACUCUGAAGCAGGCGUUAAGAGAGCUCUCUAUUACCAAGGCAUCAGAAAUGGCUGCUAUGAAACGGUUAUCAAAAUUGACAAGUCCUUCAAGAGCCUCGGAAUCUGGGAGGAUCAAGACGUUAUACAAUGCAGUUGUUGUUCAAUCUAGUCACUCUGGCGCCUCCUCAAGUGAAGAUAGGGGAAAUAUGGUUGAAAUCUCUCUGGUGCCAGAAGAAAGCAUUUCAAAUUCUUGCAGGGAGCUGUCCGAGCAUCCUCAAAUGUCCAAGAUGAAGUCAUCAAGCCAGAGUGGACAUUCUUCUCCUCGAUUUGCCAUUGGGAAAACAGAAAAUAAUUCCGGGAGCACAAUAGUGCAAAAUGAAAGUACUUCCAGUUGCAAGUUAAGGACAGUAGGGGAGCAAACAGUAAAGGUGGAAAUGGGAAAGAAGGAGAACAAUAAAUCUACGAAUGACCAUAUUUCAGAACUUGCUGAAAAUGGCCCUUCCAACACCGUGUUACGGACAAAAACUAAGUCGGAGCUGGGGAAGAAAGAGAAACUUAAAUCUACAAGUGGCAAUACUUCAGGACUUGUUCAAAAUGUUCCUGCCAAGACCAAGUUAGCGAAUAAGGUAUCAGCAGUAAAACCAGGGCGAAAAGUCAAGUUGCAUGUAGUACCUUCUUCAUCUAGUUUGGUGAAUGUAAAUCCGGCAAGCAAAGUAUCCAGAAAUACCGUCCGCUCUGUAAAACAAGCCAGCAGGAAUAGGAAUAUCUUAAAGAAGAAGACAAGGCAACUGGUCUGUGAGAGAUGCCAAUGUGCAAUACAAGGUGCUGGACAACAAUCCAAUGAAGGUUCUUUGUCUCCCCAGUUUAACGGUCUUGCUAAUGAAAUAAACUCAAGUAAUGUGCACAGCACUCCAGGUAAACCAGGCUUCACCUUGGACAACAAGAAGACUGGCAAUACAGGGGGAGCUGGCAUCAUGAAAUCAAAAACGAACUCCAAUUCAAAAGAAAGAGGGGAGUUCUCCCAAAGCUCAAAAAGUAGCCAAGGUGAUCAUAGUAGUAGUACAAGUUUGAGUGACGAGAGCAAUGUAAGUGGAUCUAGUUAUAGCAAUAAACCUCACAUGUCAAAGGAUGUGAGGUGGGAGGCCAUCCGUCAUGUUCGGUUGCAGCAUGGAUCCUUGGGCUUGAGACACUUUAACCUUUUGAAAAAGCUUGGUUGUGGAGACAUAGGAACUGUAUAUCUUGCUGAACUCAUUAGUACGAACUGUCAUUUUGCCAUAAAGGUAAUGGACAAUGAAUUCUUGGCUAGAAGGAAGAAGAUGCCAAGGGCGCAGACUGAAAGAGAAAUACUGAGGAUGCUUGAUCAUCCUUUUCUCCCUACGCUUUAUACUCAAUUUACAUCAGAUAAUCUGUCAUGUUUAGUUACGGAGUAUUGCCCAGGCGGAGAUCUUCAUGUCCUCCGACAGAAGCAAAUUGGAAGGUGUUUUUCUGAAGCAGCAACAAGGUUCUAUGUUGCGGAAAUUCUCCUUGCUUUGGAGUAUUUACACAUGCUUGGGGUAGUUUAUCGGGAUUUGAAACCAGAAAACAUUCUAGUUCGGGAAGAUGGUCAUAUCAUGCUCACAGAUUUUGACCUGUCUCUUAGGUGCACUGUCAGUCCAACUCUAUUGAAAUCACCUUCAUGCGAUGUUUAUCGUGCAAGAGUGUCUGGUCCGUGUACACAAUCUAGCUGCGCCGAGCCCUUCUGCAUUGAACCCUCCUGUCAAGUCCCAUGCUUCAGCCCUAGGUUUCCUGCUGCUGCAAAAGCAAAGAAGUCCAAAAAUGACCCUGCAUCCCAUGUUAGAUCAUUGCCACAGCUUGUGGCAGAGCCUACUGAUGCGCGGUCCAAUUCCUUUGUCGGGACCCAUGAGUACUUGGCUCCGGAGAUCAUCAAAGGAGAGGGUCAUGGAGCUGCAGUUGAUUGGUGGACGUUUGGAAUCUUCCUUUACGAGCUUCUGUACGGCAGAACACCAUUCAAAGGUAUUAACAACGAGGAAACGUUGGCCAAUGUGGUGUUGCAGAGCCUAAGGUUCCCAGAGGACCCCCAUGUUAGCUUCCAGGCUCGAGAUCUCAUCAGAGAUCUGUUGGUAAAGGAGCCAGAGAAUCGGUUGGGAUCAGAGAAAGGGGCCGGUGAGAUCAAGCAGCAUCCGUUCUUUGAGGGCCUGAAUUGGGCACUGAUACGCUGCGCCACUCCGCCAGAACUGCCCGAGUAUUGCGAUUUUGAGAUCCCGGACAUGCCUGCUGCUCAGGAGAAUACCAAGUAUUUGGAGUUCAAGGCGACGGGAGAGCACCUGGAGUUUGAGUUAUUUUAGAGGAAAGUCACAAUUUUUAGGAGAAGAAGAAGCUUUCUGCUUGUGCAUUGGUAGGUACGAAAACAAUCGCCGGCGUCUGGCAGAAGAGUCGGACUAGGAUUCAACACCACUGGUAUACUGGAUUCCCCCCCCUAAUAAUCCUCUCCAUCUCUCUGCCGCCGCCACAAGCAUAGUUUGUCGUUGACAUCACCAACCUCCACUGCGAGCUCUCACCUGCCCUCGCCGCCAUCAAUUUGUAGAGGUUGAUGGGUGUGAUUGAUAUAUACAACGCUUCCUCACUCCGAUUAACCGCCCCCCGCGGACCCAGCUGUGGAAGAAUUGAAGGGAAUAGAAAGAGGGUGAGGGUGGUGGGUAUGGCGUCCACAAUCCCUGUGCAGCAUAAACCAGUCAAUGACGGUCAACAGCGUUUGACUGGGGACUCAUUCAUUCGACCCCAUUUGAGGAACUUGUCUCCUUAUCAGCCCAUUUUGCCAUUUGAGGUUUUGUCAACUAGACUUGGAAGGAAGCCUGAGGACAUCAUCAAGCUAGAUGCAAAUGAAAACCCUUAUGGUCCUCCUCCGGAGGUUUUUGAAGCUUUGGGUGCAUUGAAAUUCCCAUAUAUCUAUCCCGACCCUGAAAGCCAUCGAUUACGUGCUGCCCUUGCAAAGGAUUCGGGCCUUGAAUCUGAUUAUAUUCUUGUCGGAUGUGGUGCUGGUGAGCUCAUUGAUUUGAUUAUGAGAUGUGUACUUGAUCCUGGCGACAAGAUUGUUGAUUGCCCACCGACGUUCACUAUGUAAGAAUUUGAUGCUGCAGUAAACGCUGCUUCUGUCAUCAAAGGUAAAGUUAACUUCCUGCUUAAUUUUCUGUUGAAUAUUUCAAAAAAGUUUAUUAUUUCAUAUAUGAAACUCUUUCUACUUAUCUGCCCUCUCCUCAAAGACAAAAGACCUCAGCUGUUAUACUUCGAUGUACAUUAUGUGUGUAUAAAACUACGUGUUUUGGCAGACCUGUGCAGUGCCAAGGAAGUCGGAUUUUAGCUUGGAUGUAGAAGUCAUUUCAGAUGUUGUUUUACAGGAAAAACCAAAAUGCAUAUUCCUAACUUCUACCAACAAUCCAGAUGGGAGGUAACUGAAAAUUGUCUCUUUCCGUACGUAUGUUUGAUAUACACGUGCUAUAAGAUUGAUAUUAUGGCCCUUUUGUGUUUUAAGUAAUACAGUCUAUUAAUAAGCGGUUUAGGGUACUCACCAGAACAAAAUUAUUGUUAAAACUGAUUAUCCAUUGAUAUAUGAUCUAUCUUCUCCCUAUCUCGGGAUCUGGUUUUUUAUAGUAUUUGAUUCAUUCCAAACUUGAGAAACCAACUUAACUUAUUCUUUUAAUACAAGUUGCGUACUGGUCCCUAACAUUACUGGUGCUACUAGGGAACAUGUAAGCAAAAAGUAAAGGAUUGGAUAGUAUUUCCAGCUAUCCUGCUGAGAAGUUAUCAAGUAAGCAGUUGACGUGGCACUUUUGGUAGACAUGGAUUUAAGGUUAGCAUGAUGAGCUGUGUCACAGAAAUAGAAGACCAGAAAAGGAAAAAAAAAUGGUUUUUGAGUAGAAUUGCAUCUUCGGUUAUGAACAUCUUGAUACAAAUGCUUCUGGUUUCUUAUUUUUUUUAUCACAAUGAAGAUUGGAGAUGGUUUAUUCUGACACAAUGACUCCACAUACUUCUCUUAUCAUAACAUGUAUGGUUUCUAGAAUCUGAGUGUCACUCUAAGAUAUUGUAUUUUCAUGUUCUACUUAUUUGAUGACAGUAUAAUAAGUGAUGAGAUUCUCCUGAAAAUCCUUGAGCUUCCUAUAUUGGUCGUGCUGGAUAAAGCAUAUAUUUCAGGACUCGAAUCGAGGAUGCAGUGGGUGAAAAAGCACGAGAAUUUAAUUGUUCUGCGAACAUUUAGCAAACGAGCUGGCUUAGCUGGACUCCGUGUAGGAUAUGGAGCAUUUCCGCUGAGCAUAAUUGAAUAUGGAGAGCUAAGCAACCAUAUAAUGUGUCUGUUACUGCUGAAGUUUCUGCUUGUGCAGCAUUGCAGAAUCCCACCUAUCUUGAGACGGUGAAAGAAGCUUUGCUACGAGAGAGGGAACGUCUUUUUAACCUCCUAAAGCAGCUCCAGUUUCUCAACCCGUAUCCAAACUAUUCCAAUUUCAUUCUCUGUGAGGUUACAUCGGGAAUGGAUCCUAAGAAGCUGAAGGAGGACCUCGCGAAAAUGGGGGUGAUGAUUCGUCACUACAACAACAAAGAGUUGAAGGGUUAUGUUCGCAUAUCUGUUGGGAAGCCUGAACACACAGAUAUAUUGAUCGAUUGCCUCAGACGCUUGUCCCCUAAAUACAGCACCUUAAACCAGUUUCUUUCUUUCUUUCUUUGUCAGCAGUUAGUGAGGGAUUGGAGUUGUAUUUUGUUUGUCAAUUUAUUGCUGAAAAGCCAAAGAUUCCAGGGAAAGCUUGCAUUUUAACAGA